rnacentral:rRNA from 1 species
CACGUAGGGGGCGAGCGUUGUCCGGAUUUAUUGGGCGUAAAGAGCUCGUAGGCGGUUCGAUAAGUCGGGUGUGAAAACUCUGGGCUCAACUCAGAGACGCCACCCGAUACUGUUGUGACUUGAGUCCGGUAGGGGAGUAUGGAAUUCCCGGUGUAGCGGUGAGAUGCGCAGAUAUCGGGAGGAACACCAGUGGCGAAGGCGGUACUCUGGGCCGGAACUGACGCUGAGGAGCGAAAGCGUGGGUAGCGAACAGG